rnacentral:rRNA from 1 species
AUGAACGCUGGCGGCGUGCCUAAUACCUGCACGUCGAGCGCACGGACGAGAAGCUUGCUUCUCUGAUGUUAGCGGCGGACGGGUGAGUAACACGUGGAUAACCUACCUAUAAGACUGGGAUAACUUCGGGAAACCGUAGCUAAUACCGGAUAAUAUUUUGAACCGCAUGGUUCAAAAGUGAAAGACGGUCUUGCUGUCACUUAUAGAUGGAUCCGCGCUGCAUUAGCUAGUUGGUAAGGUAACGGCUUACCAAGGCAACGAUGCAUAGCCGACCUGAGAGGGUGAUCGGCCACACUGGAACUGAGACACGGUCCAGACUCCUACGGGAGGCAGCAGUAGGGAAUCUUCCGCAAUGGGCGAAAGCCUGACGGAGCAACGCCGCGUGAGUGAUGAAGGUCUUCGGAUCGUAAAACUCUGUUAUUAGGGAAGAACAUAUGUGUAAGUAACUGUGCACAUCUUGACGGUACCUAAUCAGAAAGCCACGGCUAACUACGUG